rnacentral:rRNA from 1 species
UACGUAGGGUGCGAGCGUUGUCCGGAAUUAUUGGGCGUAAAGAGCCCGUAGGCGGUGUGUCACGUCGGCCGUGAAAACCUGGGGCUUAACUCUGGGCGUGCGGUCGAUACGGGCAUCACUAGAGUUCGGCAGGGGAGACUGGAAUUCCUGGUGUAGCGGUGAAAUGCGCAGAUAUCAGGAGGAACACCGGUGGCGAAGGCGGGUCUCUGGGCCGAUACUGACGCUGAGGAGCGAAAGCAUGGGUAGCGAGCAGG